UUUGCCAUCUUCGAGGCAAGGUGUAAGACUCCUCCCUCUACAGUAACUACAGAAUGGUCCUGCAAUGUUUCCCCUUGAAAUACACAACAGGUCUUCCUUACUGAGGUGGCAUAAAAUGAAGGAGCUGUAGGGAGCAAUGUUCUGACAGACAAGGACACCUUACUCUUAUUGUUGUAUACAGAGCCUAGAACCUGCUGUGAUAGGUGCAUUACAAAGCCAGACAGACCACAUUAGCACCACCACUACAUAGCUAUACCAGUUUCUGCAUGAGCAGACCAGCUUAGAGUUAGAACAUUUUCUGGAUGCAGGCAAUAUCCUCCAUAGUGCAUCAAUCUCUUCUGCUCAAAGACCUGCAUCUGAGUGCCUUCGUGAAGUGUGUGUGAACAAAGGAAGCCUGCCAUGUCCCAUUAAACUGGACGCCAUCUCUGUGAAAUGUCGCCACACGCUGAAGGUCAAGACUCUUACUGUGUUGGACAACAAACUCUUUAACAUUACCCUCUGGAAAUCAGAUGAGAGAGAAGACAGGAGCAGUUCUCAAGAACGGAAGUACCAUCUGUAUUCUUCCCAUCCAACCCGUUUUUCUUUGUUUGACAGAAAAAGCUGAUGUGAAGAAUCUGAACUGUCUGCUCAAACAAAAUUGUUUAUCUUCUGAACUAACUGUACAGCUACUACCAUUUUCUUCUUUAUAACAUAGGAAAACCUUAUGGCUGGGCAUCCCACACAAAAAAAGAAUAAUUUUAAUGCAAGCCAAUGUUCUACAAACAAAAACAAUCCCUCCCAAAAAACCACAUGCAGCAGAAUAAAGCAAGUUCCGACAGAAAUUGUACUCCCCCCACUUCACUAGAUCUCAUUUACUGCUCCAACAUUCGUCCUUUGAUUGGAGAUGUUGCUGCAUUACAGCUGCUGAUUCUGCACGACAGCAUCUUUGUAGAUCUUGCUCUGAAUGAAGGAAUGUACAUAAGUUUUGGCACAGUUUUGCCACCAUAGUUGCUUUGCAUUGCUAUUCUGAAAAUAAUACUGAACAGAUGGAAUCUACUGCCAUUUUGCACAGCUCCAGUGGAGGAGUGUGAGAGAGACAACAGGAGUUGCAAAAUAAAUUAUUGUUCAACUGAUUUACAAGAAGAAUAUGGGGUCUUCCAGCAUGCAUAUGAAAAAGGCCCUACACAAAAACUACCUAUAUUUAGGGGUAUUAUUUGUAUGCAUAAGAAGAAUAUUCCAGUUAGUGUAGCGUUACAGCAUGACCAGCAAGACUUCCAAAUAUCGUCACACAUUCCUUUGUGUGAGA